rnacentral:tRNA from 1 species
UGGUCGGGAUAGCUCAGUUGGUAGAGCAGAGGACUGAAAAUCCUCGUGU